AAUGAACGCUGGCGGCGCGCCUAAUACAUGCAAGUCGAGCGAGAAGACGUAGCAAUACGUUUGUAAAGCGGCGAACGGGUGAGGAAUACAUGGGUAACCUACCCUAGAGUGGGGAAUAACUAGCCGAAAGGUUAGCUAAUACCGCGUACGCUCCUUGGACUUCGGUUCAGGGAGGAAAGCGAUACCGAGGGUAUCGCGCUCUUGGAUGGGCUCAUGUCCUAUCAGCUUGNGGUGAGGUAACGGCUCACCAAGGCUUCGACGGGUAGCUGGUCUGAGAGGACGAUCAGCCACACUGGCACUGCGACACGGGCCAGACUCCUACGGGAGGCAGCAGUAAGAAUAUUGCGCAAUGGGCGAAAGCCUGACGCAGCGACGCCGCGUGGGGGAU
rnacentral:rRNA from 1 species